rnacentral:tRNA from 1 species
GCCCAGGUGGCGUAAUUGGUAAACGCGAUAGACUGAGGCUCUAUGCCCUUUUUGGGCGUUCGGGUUCGAGUCCCGCCCUGGGCACAA